rnacentral:rRNA from 1 species
AGUGAACGCUGGCUGUAGGCCUAACACAUGCAAGUCGAACGGCAGCACAGUAAGAGCUUGCUCUUACGGGUGGCGAGUGGCGGACGGGUGAGGAAUACAUCGGAAUCUACUUUUUCGUGGGGGAUAACGUAGGGAAACUUACGCUAAUACCGCAUACGACCUACGGGUGAAAGCAGGGGAUCUUCGGACCUUGCGCGACUGAAUGAGACGAUGUCGGAUUAGCUAGUUGGCGGGGUAAAGGCACACCAAGGCGACGAUACGUAGCUGAUCUGAGAGGAUGAUCAGCCACACUGGAACUGAGACACGGUCCAGACUCCUACGGGAGGCAGCAGUGGGGAAUAUUGGACAAUGGGCGCAAGCCUGAUCCAGCCAUACCGCGUGAGUGAAGAAGGCCUUCGGGUUGUAAAGCCCUUUUGUUAGGGAAGAAAAGCAGCGGGUUAAUACCCCGCUGUUCUGACGGUACCCAAAGAAUAAGCACCGGCUAACUUCGUG